AUACUUACCUGGAAGGGGAGAUACCAUGAUCACAAAAGUGGUUUUCCCAGGGUGAGGCUUAUCCAUUGCAUUCCGGAUGUGCUGACCCCUGCAAUUUCCCCAAAGGUGGGAAACUCGACCUCAGAAUUUGUGGUAGUGGAUGAGUGCAAUUGCACUUUCCCC
ensembl:snRNA U1 U1 spliceosomal RNA